AAAAAUCAUAGCAGCUAGCUAGCUCUACCUUGAUAACAUCUAUAAACUAAGUCCAGUCUCCAGCGCGAAUUAAACACUACCUGGGGAACAGGAGGAUAUAUCUCUAUCAGCCCCAGGCCUUGCUCUAUCCCUGCACUGAGUCUGUGAAGAGAAGGACCUGGGCUGCAGACUGGAUCCCUGACUGUCUAUAUGAUGACCACCAGGACGGAGGUUGUUCAGCCCACCUGUCCAUUCGUUGUGUUCUGUGUGAUGGAGUCUCUGUCCCUCAUGGUUUGUAUCUGUAUUUAUCAUGGAUCCCCAUGCAGCUACUCUUCCUGAGUUCCAGCGAAAUUAAGGCAGUUUAUACAAUUUUAAAAUCAUUACAAUACAUUUACAGUUUUCAUAACACACUGCCCUUAGGCCCAUACUCCACAACUACCACAUAUCUACAGUACAAAAUCCAUGUGUAUGUGUGUGUAUAGUGCGUAUGUUAUUGUGUGUGUAUGUCUGUGCCUAUGUUUGUUGCUUCACAGUCCCUGCUGUUGCAUAAGGUGUUGUUUUUUUUUUACAUCUAUUUUUAAAUUUGAAUUUUACUGCUUGCAUGAGUUACUUGAUGUGGAAUAUAGUUCCAUGUAGUCAUGGCUCUGUUGUAUUGUGCUCCUUCCAUAGUCUGUUCUGGACUUGGAGAUUGAGACCUCUUGUGACAUGUCUUGUGGGGUAUGCAUGGGUGUCCAAGCUGUGCACCAGUAGUUGAAACAGACAGCUCGGUGCAUUCAACAUGUCAAUAUCUCUCAUAAAUACAAGUAGUGAUGAAGUCAAUCUCUCCUCCUCCUUGAGCCAGGAGAAAUUGACAUGCAUAUUAUUAAUAUUAGCUCUCUGUGUACAUCCAAGGGCCAGCCAUGCGGCCCUGUUCUGAACCUAAGUCCUUUUUUGUGGCACCUGACCACACGACUGAACAGUAGUCCAGGUGUGACAAAACUAGGACCUGCCUUGUUGAUAGUGCUGUUAAGGUAGAGCAGCACUUUAUUAUGGACAUACUUCUCCCCAUCUUAGCUCCUGUUGUAUAAAUAUGUUUUGACCAUGACAGUUUACAAUACAGGGUUACUCCAAGCAGUUUAGUCACCUCUAUUUGCUCAAUUUCCACAUGAUUUAUUACAGGAUUUAGUUCAGGUUUAGAGAAUGAUUUGUCCCAAAUACAAUGCUUUUAGUUGUAGAAAUAUUUAGGACUAACUUAUUCCUUGCCACCCAUUCCGAAACUAACUGCAGCUCUUAAGAGUUGCAGUCAUUUCAGUCACUGUAGUAGCUGACAUGUAUAGUGUUGAGUCAUCCGCAUACAUAGACACACUGGCUUUCUUCAAAGCCAGUGGCAAUUCAUUAGUAAAGAUUGAAAAAAGGAAGCUGUCUAGCCCCAUUAGUUAAGGACUUCCUGAUUCUACCUGGAUUAUGUUGGAGAGGCUUCCAUUAAAGAGCACCCUCUGUGUUCUGAUAGACAGGUAACUCUUUAUCCACAAUAUGGCAUGGGGCGUAAAACCCUAACAAGUUUUUCCAGCAGCAGACUAUGAUCGAUAAUGUCAAAAGCCGCACUGAAGUCUAACAAAACAGCCCCCACAAUCUUGUCACCAAUUUCUCUCAGCCAAUCAUCAGUCAUUUGUGUAAGUGAUGUUGUUGAAUGUCCUUCUCUAUAAGCAUGCUGAAAGUUUGUCCAUUUGUUUACUGUAAAAUAGCAUUAUAUCUGGUCAAACACAAUUUUUCAAAAAGUUUAAAGGUUGGUAACAGACUGAUUGGUCGGCUAUUUUACUAUCAUUCAUCUUUGUUUCAUAGUGUAGUUUCUUCUUUUUAUUCAAUUUAGUCACAUGAUUUCUCAAUAAGCUUGCCAAUCGGUUGUGCAGCCAGACUUAUUUGCCGUUCCUCUUGCCUCAUCCCUCUCAACCAUACCAUUUUUCAAUUCCUCAUCAAACCAUGGGGAUUUAAGUUUAGUCAUUUUCUUAAUAGGUGCAUGCUGAUUAGCAACUGGAAUAAGCAACUUCUUAACUAUGUCAAGUGCAGUGUCUUGUCUGCUCCUCAUUACACACCACGGACCAACAGAUAUUCUUUACAUUAAUAAGAUAGGAAUCACUACAAAACGUAUUGUAUGACCUCUUAUGCACUAUAUUAGGCCCAGCCUUUAGGAACUUUGGUUUUCCUAGAUAUGGCUACUAUAUUGUGAUCACUACAUCCGAUGGAUCUGGAUACUGCUUUCAAGCAAAUUUCUGCAGCAUUUAGUAAAGAUGUGAUCAAUACAUGUUGAUUUCAUUCCUGUGCUGUUUGUAACUACCCUGGUAGGUUGACUGAUAACCUGAACCAGGUUGCAGGUACUGGUUACAGUCUGAAGCUUUUUCUUGAGUGGGCAGCUUGAUGAAAGCCAGUCAAGAUUUAAAUCACCCAGAAAAUACCUCUCUGUUGAUAUCACAUGCAUUAUCAAGCAUUUCACAUGUUAUCCAGAUACUGACUGUUUGCCCUUGGUGGUCUAUAGCAGCUUCCCACCAGAAUAGGCUUUAGGUGAGGCAGAUAAACCUGUAUCUAUAUUACUUCAACAGUAUUUAAUGAGAUCCUGCUUCCGACUUGGGACGGAAGCUCCUGAUCCAGGGUCCUGGGUUUGUGACCGGCCACGUCAGAGGUCCUGGCUCUCCCGCCAGCAAAACUGGACAAAUCCAUGUGUGGAUUCAAGAAUUAAGUAUGUUUUGGUACGACUGAUAUACAAAACUCAGUCACUGCAAUGACACAAAAAAUACCAAGUCAGUCAAUUUUGUAUUCAAUUUCAACAACAUGGUCAUACUGUACACUCACAAUGUACUUUAAUUGCACAAAACUAUACCUGUGACAAGUAGAAUAACUUUUCUCCCUAUGGUAACACUACAUUUUCUGUAAAUCUGGUACCCUCGCUUUGAUAAAAUGAAUUGUUGAAUACUUUGGAAAAGGUUUAACAUUACACACAUCUUCACUACUUCAUGUCAAGUAAACAUAAAUUAAGGCACUAAAAUUCCCUCAUAAAACACCAGCAUCAAAGAUAAGGUUUUCACUCUUCAUCAUUGAAGCAUUUUUACAGACACCAUCACACCAACCAUCACAAUCAUCUACUUUGCCUCAUCAUACUCAUUCUUUCCUGUUCACCUCAUCCAGUUCCAUACAGAGUACCAUAGUAGGAGUCAUAAUACCCAUAUAACCUAGCGGUCAGACAAGGAACUUUUUCCAAUUGUUUUUCCACCAUUCAUUUGUCCAAUAGGGGAUUUAAGAAACACUUCAAAUAAGGGCUGUGUUUCAUGUAGGCUUACCUUGGCGUGACGUUUUGAUAAUGGUGUAAAUCUCGAGGACAAGGUGACUUAUCAAUAUAUUCGCCUGUAUAAUAUAAAUUGGCUACAUUUCUUUAAAAUGGACAAUUCUGUGAACUGUCUUCUGCAAGUUUUAAAUUGACACAAACCAGUUAGCAAAGGUGUCAGCUAGAGAUGGCUUUGCAUGGAUUUGUAGUCUUGCAUGAUGUCUACUUUGAUGCUAAUUAGCAUUUUAGAAUCAGAGUAAAUAGAGCUGAAUAUAUUGAUCAAAUUGUCACGGCUCCUCCUCUGCAGUGCAGGGGGCGGUUCCUCCUGCAGGCAGAGGAGGGUCGUUAAGUGAUUGGAGCCACCUGGGCUCAGGGUAUAAAACUGCUUACUAAUCACCUCUCCCUGUCUUGCUCUCUCUCUCUCUCUGCUCCUCCAGGUAUGCUCAUGAUUUGUUUGUUCCUUUUUAGUUUUGCAUAGUUUCCACUCAGUCAUGUUCACACACACAUAUUCAUGCACCCAUGCACUUUACAUACACCUUACAUUAUGAUACAUCCACACCUCAUUCCUGUUUCUUAGUUUAAGUUAAUAGUUUGUUUAAUAAUAAAGAACACUUUUGAAUUGGCCUAUACCUGUUGUUCGUGUCCCCUCAUUUUUGUCACAGGCUAUGAGCCGGCUUGUGACAAAAUUCACCUUGUCCGAGAAAGAUUUACAUGGUUAUCAAAACGUCACCCCAGGAUAAACCUACACGAAACAUCUGUACUUUACUAAUUAUAUUUUUGACAACUUUUACUUUACUACAUUCGUGAAGAAAAUAAUGUACUUUUUUCUCCAUACAUUUUCCCUGACACCCAAAAGUACAUUUUGACAGGAGAAUAGUCCAAUUCACACACUUAUCAAGAGAACAUCCCUGGUCAUCCCUACUGCCUCUGAUCUGGCAGAUGCACUAAACACAAAUGCUUUGUUUGUAGUGUGUCCCUGGCUCUCCAUAAAUACAAUUUAAAAAACCAC